GGAAGGCAAUCGCACCCGGUGGUGCGGCCGGGCUUCAAACCCGGUUGGGGGCGGCAGCCGUUCCUGGGUGGGUUCGACUCCCACUGCCUUCCGCCA
rnacentral:tRNA from 6 species